AUUGAACGCUGGCGGCAGGCUUAACACAUGCAAGUCGAGCGGAGUGAUGGUGCUUGCACUAUCACUUAGCGGCGGACGGGUGAGUAACGCGUGGGUAACCUGCCCUAUACACACGGAUAACGUACCGAAAGGUACGCUAAUACGGGAUAAAGUUGUUAGAUGGCAUCUUCUAACAAUCAAAGCUCCGGCGGUAUAGGAUGGACCCGCGUCUGAUUAGCUAGUUGGUGAGGUAAUGGCUCACCAAGGCGACGAUCAGUAGCCGACCUGAGAGGGUGAUCGGCCACACUGGAACUGAGACACGGUCCAGACUCCUACGGGAGGCAGCAGUGGGGAAUAUUGCACAAUGGGCGAAAGCCUGAUGCAGCAACGCCGCGUGAGCGAUGAAGGUCUUCGGAUCGUAAGGCUCUGUCCUCAAGGAAGAUAAUGACGGUACUUGAGGAGGAAGCCCCGGCUAACUACGUGCCAGCAGCCGCAGUAA
rnacentral:rRNA from 1 species